rnacentral:rRNA from 1 species
GGCAGCGGACCUUCGGGUGCCGGCGAGUGGCGAACGGGUGAGUAAUGUAUCGGAACGUACCUUUCAGUGGGGGAUAACGUAGCGAAAGUUACGCUAAUACCGCAUAUUCUGUGAGCAGGAAAGCAGGGGAUCGCAAGACCUUGCGCUGAUUGAGCGGCCGAUAUCAGAUUAGCUAGUUGGUGAGGUAAAGGCUCACCAAGGCGACGAUCUGUAGCGGGUCUGAGAGGAUGAUCCGCCACACUGGAACUGAGACACGGUCCAGACUCCUACGGGAGGCAGCAGUGGGGAAUUUUGGACAAUGGGGGCAACCCUGAUCCAGCCAUGCCGCGUGAGUGAAGAAGGCCUUCGGGUUGUAAAGCUCUUUCGUCCGGGAAGAAAUCGCAUCAGCUAAUACCUGGUGUGGAUGACGGUACCGGAAUAAG